rnacentral:lncRNA from 10 species
AGCAUGAGAAACUAUUUGCUCUUCCAUCUUGAUGUCCAGGGAGGUCCCUGUUUUGAAUUCUCCACAGCAGCCAACACUUCUGACCUCACAUCAAGUUUUUCUUAUCAAUUUUUCAGGGACCCUUUUAAUAGCAUCAUUUAUCUUAUUACCGAAAAUAUUUUUCUAAGUCUAGGGCUUAUUUUUAAUUUUGUUUAUACUAUCAUUUACCAUAACAAAAUGUUUAAAAUUACAUGCUAUCAUAUAUAUCUGUCUAUUCCUUCAUGAUUUUUUGUUUUUCUUUCUUCCUUAGGAGAUGUUCUUUUUUCUAAUAUUUAUUUUAAAUUCUUUUUACAUUUAAAUUUCAAUCAAUUUGGAAUUUGUUUUAGUAUAUGGGGCAAAAUAAGGGCCAAUUUUCCUUUCAGAUGGAUAGCCAAUUAUGCAUUAUUUUUCCAUGAAUUGAAAUAUCACCUUUAUCAUAUAUUAGGUUCCCAUAUAUGCUUAGAUCAAUUAUUAUAUUUUGUAUUCUCAUCCUUAGACCUACAUGUUCAUUCCCGUUUUAUACUAUAUUAUUUGGUCAUAGUAGUUUUAUAGUAAGUGUUAAUAUCUGUUGUAUUAACAUCUGUUCUUCAGAUAUUAAUGUCUCUCACUAUUCUUCAGUCUCAUAAUUUUACUAUUCUUGUACAACUAUUCUUCCAACAUACCUUCAAAAUUAUUUUAUCCUAUUUAGAAAACCUUGUGAUUCUAUCUGGAAAUGCAUUAAAUUUAAAUACAGUAGAUUAUGCUCUAUAAGGCUACCAUGAACAGUGAAUUAGGAAAUACUGAACCCAUUGUUCCUAGAGAAAAUACAGGGUUAGGUUCCUGCAAGCCUCUGGCCACAAUAUUUUUGUCAACCAAUCAAUGCACAACCUUGUUUUAUGUGUUUCUGUAUAAAGAUGCUUUUUAAAUAUAUAUUGUUGAUUCAUUAGCAUUAAACUCAUGGUCAACAGCAAUAUAAAUCAUACCUGAAUGAAGCUUAUUUAACGUGUGUAUUUUUUCAUUAAGGCACAUCGUAGCCUUGCUGUGCUUGGGAACACUAGACAGCAAUUCAGUACCGUGCUUUGGGGCCAUUUGCCAAAGUAAAAUCACCAACAAAAAGCACAAAUAUAAAAAAACAAGACACAAAAUAGACACGAAAAGGACACUUGCUUAUAGAAUGAGGGCUGAAACAGUAACACAGAGCACUAUCUGGUUUGACCUCAGCUGGGAACACGUGCAUCAGGCAACUCAAAAUUUUUUUGCCACUCUGCUUAUGUCUGCAAAUACUGAAAAAGCACCAGGAGUGUUAAUUUUAGGGUUACAAAUAAAUUUUUGCAAGUAGGCAAAUUUGUAAGUAUUGAAUCUGCAAAUAACAAAAAUCAGCUAUUAAUUUUUGGAGCAGGUACAUUCUUAUGCUAGUCUUCUCAUUUAGAAAUUUGGCAUUUUUUCCUUUUGUUCAGGACUUGUUUUCUGUACUCAAUAAAAUAUUAUAAUUUUAUUUGGGUCUUGUAUCUUUUUUGUUAAACUUUUUUGUAGUUUCUUUUAAAAAUAAUUUUUACAUGUAUUUUGAAUGAGAUUCUUACAAAAUUUAUAGCUGGUUAUUGCUAGUAGAGUGAAGAAUUUUGUAUAUGUUUAUUUUAUUUUUCCACCAUCAUUUGAAGCCUAUUAAUUCUAGUAAUUUUUGCUAGUUACUUGGGGUUUCUUAGUAAUUCACAAUUAAAUUAGCUACAAAGAGAAGUAAUUCUGUCUGUUAUUUUUCUGCAGUUUAAUUUUCUUUUUAACUAUGUUUUCAAGAACUUCCUGAAAUAUUUAAUAAGAGUGAUGAUAUUUGGCACCUAACUUUCAGUUCUGGUUUUGUAAAUGAAAGUAUUCUCAGUGCAAACUAUCAUGUGUAAAGGAAAUAAAACCACAUCAAAAGGGAGAAGGCUUAUUACCAUGCAGAUAGUUUGCUGAAUCAUUGAACGAAUUCAAUAUUAUCACUUGGCCAUAACCAUUAAUCUCUUAGAAGAUGGUCAGUGCUAGUGUGCCAACAUAAUAGAUAUCAAAGAUGUGUUUUUUACUAUUAUUACAUUGUGAUUUAGUAAUAUUCCACAUUCUUUUCUCCUAGAUGAGCCACAAAUCAGAAUUUCUGAACUCAUCAAAGUCUAGGGUACACUGAAAAUUAUUACAUAAGAAUGUUAUUUUGGGGAACAACUCUACUGUACUUGGGGUGGACAGAGUACAACUCAUUGACGUUUAGAGAACCCUGGCUUUGUACAGCCCUUGUAAUUCCCUUUCCUCAUCUCACCUCCAGAAAUACUACUCUGGGAGUAGAGAGGAGAGGUUAUCCCAAUUAACAGGUAAAGAAACUGAGUCCUAGAAAAGUGAAGUGACUUCCUCAUGGCCACACACGUGGUUAGUUGAGGGCAAAGCUUCUGUCUCUGUUCCAGAUUCAGUCAAACCUCAUUAUCUUGUUCCAAAGCUCCUUGAUUCUUUCCAGCUACAUUCUAAAAGAGCUCAUGGUUCACCUUAUCUAUCCAUCCAUCAAUCCCUCCAUCAUGCGCUAUACAUUUUAUUAUUCAUUCAUUCAUUCAGUCAGUCAGUCAUUCAACAAAUAUUUAUUGAGGAUUUAUCAUAUUCAGACAUUAUUAUAGAUUCUGGCAAUACAACUGGAAACAAUGGACAUUCCUCCCCUCAUAGAGCUUACAUUAUAGAGAGGGGCACAGCAAUAAAUAAUAAAUAAGUAAGAUAUAGGAUGUCAGAGGGUGAUUAAGUGCUCUGAAGAAAAAUAGAGCCAGCAAGGAUAACUGGGAGUGCCAGAGUGAGGAAAGUGGUUGAAUGGUAAAUGGUUGUCAGGAAAGGCCUUCAGGAUGAGCCUACAUUUGAGCAAAGACCUCGGCAGGUCUUUGGGAAGUGAGCAGUCAAGCCACGCAGGGAGGUGAUCUAGGGUUGCCAGUCCCCCGAGGUGGCAGCAUGCCUGGUGUAUUCAUGGAGCAGCAAGGAGAGCUGUGAGGCUGAAGCAGAACAAGUCAGGGAGAGGUGCAGUGGAGGACCAAGAGCUGGUGGGGAACAGGGUUUAUAGGGCCAGGCUAAAGGCCACUGGAAGGACUGUGACUUUCUUGGAAGAGGGAAGGCCACAAAAAAGUUUGUGCAGAGGAGUGACAUGAUCUGGCCAAAAUCUGAAAAGGGCCUGUGGCACCAGGAGUGGACCAUGGGGAGACCGAGGAGGAAGCAGGGGAACCAGUUAGGAGGUCAUGUGACAAUGUGGGAGAAAGGGACCGCUGAGGUGGUGGCAGUAGAAAUAAUGAGACUCACUCGGAGUUCAAAUCUAUUUUGAAGGUACAACCAACAAGAUUUGCUGAUGGAUUGAAUUGUUUGUAUGACUUUAUGAGCCAGGUGUUGGAGUUGCAAGAGGGAGUGAAAUCAGAUUCCUUGAUGGAGCUUUUAGCCAAAUGAGAAGGCAGAAUCAGGGCUGGAACACAGAGACUGUGGAGGAGGAAUGAAGCUGGAGAGAUUAAGAUGGUGGACCAAAAGGACCAAGACUAAGUCACGUUACAACUUUUCAUUUUUAGCCUAAAAACGAUGGGAAAACGAUGGAGGAAUUUGAUUUAAGGAAGGCAUAAGGAUUUGGAAGGGAUGAGUGGGUGAGAAGUGCUGUCACAUUUGUGUCAAAAAUGUGUAAAAGAUCAGUCUGACUUCAGUAGCCAAAAGAAAUGCAAAUAAGAGUAUGGAGGCCGGGCACGGUGGCUCACACCUGUAAUCCCAGCACUUUGGGAGGCCAAGAUGGGCGGAUCACUUGAGGUCAGGAGAUCAAGACCAGCCUGGCCAAUAUGGUGAAACCCCGUCUCUACUAAAAAUACAAAAAUUAGUCAGUUGUGGUGGCAGGUGCCUGUAAUCCCAGCUGCUCAGGAGGCUGAGGCGGGAGAAUUGCUUGAACCUAGAAGGCAGAGGUCGCAGCGAGCCGAGAUGGUGCCACUACACUCCAACCUGAGCAUCACAGCAAGACUCCAUCUUAAAAAAAAAAUAUAUAUAUGGAUCUUUGUGAUGUGACUAUGGGAAUAUAGAAAUUUGGGCAAGAUCUCAAGUAUCCAAUAUAUAUAUAGAUGAUUAACAUUUUAUCAUUACUUUCCUAGUGAAAGGUAAAAAUAGCUGGCUUUAAGAAUAAAGAUAAACUGGAAACUGAUAUCUUUGUUUUUAUUUUUAAAUUUAAAUUCUAUGUGCAAUAUUAAAGAUAUACAUCAAGAUGAUAUCCAAAUUAUCUAACUUUAAUCAUAUAUUGAUUAACAACCUGAUAGGUAAAUGUGACAUAGGAAUAAUAGAUAGCAUCUAAUUGUGAGGUCAUUGUGUACUUUAUCCUUUAAAGAGCCAUAAAAACAUAUUUUAAAAUACAACAAACUUUAAAGCAACAAAAUGACCACAGAAAUAGGGGUCUGGGAUUGAGAUGGAGAUUUGCUGCUGGAUGUCUGAGAAAAGAUUAGAGAAUUAUAAAAGAAAUUAACAAAUGAAUACCAAUCUGAUUUAAACUAAUCUAUUCUUAUAGUCCUAGUAGGCAAAAUGGAAGUGAAUAAAUAUUUCUUUUUCUCAAAAGUGAUGAGGCUGGGCAUGGUGGCUCGUGCCUGUAAUCUCAACACUUUGGGAGGCCGAGGUGGGAAAGUCACUUGAGGCCAGGAGUUUAAGAACCCCUGUGAGUAACAUAGUGAGACCCCCAUCUCUAUAAAACACAAAUAUAAAAAUUCAGCGAGCAUGGUGGUAUGUGCCUGGGAGGCUGAGGUGGGAGAAUCGCUUAAGUCCCAAAAUCCAAGGUUGCAGUCAGCUAUGAUUGUGCCACUGCACUCCAACCUGGGCGACAGAGUGAGAUCUUGUCUCUAAAAAAAAAAAAAAAAAGUGUUUCUCUCCUUUAUCUUCUGCUAUUUUAAAUUACAAAGAAGUGGCUACUUCAAAAAUGAAGGUCACAAAAACCUUUUAAAGGUCAUCUUUAGGUUGGUGAUCAGGUAUGUGAUGCAUAUACUGGAAGUGGCAGGCUGUGCCCCUCUGGAGCACAAUUUGGCAUUCUGAAUUUCGAGGAUUAACCAAGUUCGCAAUUUUUUAUUCAAUGAUUUUCAUUGAAUGAGUUUUCCCUUAAUAAAAACAUAAAAAUAUUUAGAUAAAUGCAUGCAUAGAGAUGUUGACUCUAGAAUUUUGGGGGGCAACAUUUGGAAAUAGCCAAAUGUUCAAUAAUGUAUUGCUUGUGAAUUGUGGCAUUUUCUUAUAAGGAAGAGAGUAAGGCCAUUAAAAAUGAUGUUUUGGGAACUAAGAAUGAAAAAUUGUAUCUAUAGCAUAAUCCCUGUUUUGGUUAAUCUCUGUUUCACACUAAAAUGUGAACAGCACUCAUCUGUGAGUGGUGGUAUGCUGAGUGUCUUUCUUUUCCUUUUUUUUUUUUAAAUAAAGUAUUAAUUCUGAAUUAGCCUUCCAAAAGCAAACCAGCAAAAACUAGGAAUAUAACAAAGUUAUUCAAAUAUUCUAAUAUUAAAAAUCUUCUUUGUCUUUCUGAUGGUUUCAUUUGUAGAAAUAACUCUAAACAUCUGGAUGGGUCACCAAAAGGUGUUGUGGCCUCUUAGUUCUACUUUGAAAUUAAAGGCCCUUUUUAGAGGAAAAAAAUAUCUGAAGUCCAACCCUCACCCCUCCUCCUGCCUUGUCUAGGAUCUUCAGCAUUAGAAAGAUUGCUGGCCGGUUACCAUAACACCCAGGGCCCUUGGUGGCUGCUCUGUGGGAUCAGCCAAUCCUCGCAGCCACUCACCUGGCCUGCGCAUGGUGAGGCACACCCUUUGGAUUCACCUGGUCCAGCAGCUGCUGCCUUCUCGCUGCUUCUUUCUUCCUACAGCGCCCCUGAAGAAGGUUGUUUCUGAGGGUCCUGAAGAGAAGUUUUGUAUUCUGCAUUGCUGACAUCUGCUGAAAGGGCCAACAUUUUUAAAAAGCGUCAGAUCAGUCUACGUGUGGUCUUCCUUCCUUACUUGGAUGGACUGGCCACCAUGAAAGUUUUUGGAAUUAUUUCUCUUAAGUCCUCAGAAAAAUAAUCUUACCUCCUUCUUGUCCCUGAAUUUCUUCACAUUCUCAUAGAAAUAGCAUAAGUCUCCAAAUUAAACACCCCAAACCCCCUCAAUAAGUCCUCUUCCUUAGAGUAACCCCGUCAUUUGGCAUUCUACACCUAGAGGAGGGCAUCAAAGAGGACUAAGCCUGUGGUUGCUCACAUUUAGGGUUGUGGAUGCCUUUGAGAAUUGGAUGAUAACUCAUGGAUUUAUUUCCAGCGAAAUACUCACACAUUCCAUUCUGCAUACAAUUUCAGUGGACUCACAGGCUCACCCGAAAUCCAUUUAUUUCACCCCAAGUUAAGAACUUCUACCAAAUGCAAAGAAGGAAUGAGAUGUCUCAUUUCAAGGGUUUCAGCACUUGAAAUUUAAAGCGUAAUAACAAAGUGGCCACAUGGUGUCACUCUAACAUCAACAAAUCCAAGACUUUUAGCACUAGGAAGGUAGAUCCUAGGCCUGUGAACCUGAGGACCUGGGUAAGGCAAUGCCCACUGGAAAUUAUUUGGCAAGAUUCAGGCACUUGACUUUUGCAGGCCAUUCAUGUAAAGGAGAGAAGGAGGGAAAACUAUCCUUGGCAAAGUUAAUUAGUCAACAUCCUUCGCUAUUGUGGUAUUUGAGGAGGUUGCCAUCUGUGUGAAGAAACUUACUCACUGGAAUUUAGUAAUGAAAAGAAAAUGUUCUUUCUGGGAAAAAAUAGAAUGCUUUUUUCUAAAAUGUACUAUGCUGUUUCUCUUCUUACAAAGAACUGAAUUCACUUGCUAGGUAUUUAUAAUUUUAAAAAAUUUGAAAGGCAGCUGUGAAGUUUUAGUUGUAUACUUUUUCAGUCAACAUUGAGAUAAUAAUCUUUCUUUUUUCCUAAAGAAGAAAUAUUUGAAAUUUAGGGUUCAGGAAAAGACAUGUUAAAAAAGAAAAAUUCUCCAAAAAUAUGUUAGUAACUAGAAGUCUUGCUGCAUCAUUUUUGCCAUAUCAGAGCCCUUCUCUUUUCCAUCUGUACCCAUUUCCAGUGCUGCUCCCUGUAACUCUUCACUGACAUUUUCUAUUCCAGAGUAUCUGAUCAAUCACUUCAGACUGAACUCUGGCCUGUUCUUGUGGCCAAAAACUUCCACUGAGACAUACAAUGUGAAGAAAUCAUACUUACGUUGGGAGAUAUUCAAGGUGGAGUUUGCCACUUGCUUAGUCUUAAAUAUUGCAAUGUAUGACAGGAGCAGAAUCUGUGGUUUCACUGGAGGGAAGGUUUUUUCAUGGCUAUAGCUUAUACUGAAUUGAUUAAUGAAUAGUUUGGUAUGUGACAUUAAAUGUUACCUGAAUGCAGUGCUCAAUGACAGGAUGAGACUUCUGAUGGGACUUGCUGUGAAGACCAGAUAAGAAACACAUCUGGCAGAUGUCAAAGUUGAGACACUUCAGACAGCGGUAUCUGCCAGUUAAAAUAGAAGCACAGCUUACGUCACUAGUAGAUGAGAAAAAAAAAAAAAAAAGAAUAUCCAGGUAGAGAAUGAGCAACCCAAAAUAUACAGAAGAUGUCUGAGCUGCCAAAUCAGUGUAAAGUUUCUCCCAAACUAUAGGAUUAUUAAAUGACUCUAAUGCGUUUGUUUACUCAAAUACAUCUUCAUAUGAU